AUCGGGCAUGAAAUAAAGCUGCCUGUCUGGUGUUGCUGGAUGUGGCACCGAUGUUUUAUUUUGGUCGACCCCAAAGGAUUUCCACAUGGCUCGGUUAGGGCUACCCAUGUCUGUGGUGACAUCAAGCACAUGUAGCCCUAUGGAUGCUGCCCUCUGUAUUACCUCAAUAAUGAUUGGCCUGUACUCUGCUCCAUUGGUUGAAUUGCCAGUGUAAUGAUAUGCCACUACUUGCUUCCACCGUGUUGUGUUUCCAGCCAACAUAAACACACAAGCAUGUGUUGCCACUCCUGUGUGACCUGGUAAAGUCACAUCACCAUACAGUUUGCCUGUAAUCAUGUCCAACUCCACACUUGGUGUGAUUGCCAUUUCAUCCAGGGUCAGCACACACUCCCUUUCAAGUGUUCUUAUUCCUGGCAGGGGAAUCUGCAAUUCCUGCAGAGUUUUGUAACCGGUUGGUCCGGCAGCAAAGCGAAUUUUUAAAGCCUUCUUAAUUGUCUCAUUGCUCCAUUUCAUCCCCUUUGUGAUCUGUUUGACUGGCUGCUGGUUCCCUGGUAUGCUGACUGGCUGCUGGCUGACUGGGUGGUGUCCGCUCUCCCUGUCUCUCCUCACUAGCCAUGUCCUCUUCACCCUCACUUUCCCUUCUCUCAGUCUCCUCAUCCCUUCUUCCCUCAAUCUUUGAGACUAAUGUCCCGGGGUGCAUCGUGGUGCAGGGGCCCUCCUCUUUUUGACCACAGGGCGAUGCACAAAGAUGGUGGGAAUAGCAUCUGCUCUCAGCCUAGUCUUGCCCUUUUUGGUCUUGACAAACUGGUCUGCAUCAAAAUGUGCCUGCAGAGUGACAGAGUCACACACACACACUAUUUGUAUUAAACCAAACAUUAAGCUUC